AUAUGAGCGAUCAGCUGUUUUUGUGCAGCAUAAAAACAAUUGCAUAAUUUACUUAAAAGUGCGCCUUUAUCUUUUUCAAUUUAUGAAUCACUUGCCCAUAGAAUUAUUUGGUAUUUAGAAUGUUGCCAAAUAUUCCUAAUGCUGUGCAUCCGAAAUCGCGCAAGCCAGUCAGGGCCGGUGUUUGUAACGUGUAGCUUCAUGUUUGCAAUAACUCUAUUUAUUUAUCUAAACAUGUUGUAUUCGACCUAUCAAAAGCAGCAACGAAUCGAAGAGUACAAAGUCCAGAUGAACGCAAUGUAUGAGAACAUGAAAGUAUUGGAAAAAGUGGCGAAUAGCACUACAGUUUUGCUACGCAAAUUACAGAAGGUAGUAUCGAAUCACAAAGCGCCUCAAAAUAAUUUCGCACUCAAACCGAGAUGACAAAGAAUUUUGUUAGCUGCAAGUAAAAUUGUAUGAUUUUUGUAUUAGUACGUGUAGUUCGUAUCUAACAAUUAAUCCUUCAACUAUUUCAAACUUUCGCACAAUUGUACUAACGUUUUGAGUCAUUUACUUGAUUUGUUUAACAACUUGCACACCAUAUAAAAAGCACAAGGAAUGUCCACGCACUUAUGUCUUACUGUGACCAACCAAUUUUCUUAAGUGUAAUGUGAUAAUUUAUGCAAAAAAAAGUGUACUUAUUUCAAUAUCUGCAGUGAGAACGUAGUGGCAUAAUACCAUUGAUUGUGUUUCCGUCCUCCGUAAAGUGGGAAGUGUAUAGUGUUAACACUCCCAUUUUAGUUUGGACUCUGCAGGACGCCCAUUUAAAUGUUGAUAACAAAAGUAAAUCUAAAAUUUGAUGAAAGUUCUCAAGCAUUCCUGUGGGUGUAGAUGGUACCAAAAAGAGGUGCCAGGUGCAAGAAAGUGGCAGCUGUGCUAGAGUUCCUGCAGGGUGUUCACAGUGCAUAAUGUAAGAAUUGGUACCUACAAAUUUGCAAAACCAUGUACUGUGGAAAAUUAGGGAGAUUUUUGGAAGUAAAUUUUUUGUUUUCAAACCAAAAUGACCGCCCUGUCAAAGCCAUUAGAUCAAGUCAAUAAUUAUUAUCAGCAACCAUUGCACGAACUUUUGCUGUUAUAGAUACAAUAUAUUUUUCUUUCAUUGAGAAUACUGUGCGGUGUGAAUUAUGGAAAAUGUGCCCGAGGAUAAAUUAGGCAAUGGAACAGGAACCAUUAGACACAUAUUGCUAUAUGUUGGGCAAACUGAAAUUAAUUAAAAAUUGCCUAAUGUAUGCGUUGAUUUGUACAGAAUGUUGUUAUUAUGGUUGUUUUUGUUACUUUCUUAGAUUUGUUUAUAGUGUUCAAUUAUCCUAGUAUUAAUAUAUAAAAGUUAGUGAACACAGUAGUGCAUUACGUAAUUGCGGAGCAGUUAGCUUAUUUAUAGAAUGGUUCAAGAUGAGGAUUGCACAAUAACUGGAUCCGUUUUGUGAACGGCCUAAACA